rnacentral:rRNA from 1 species
UACAGAGGUCUCAAGCGUUGUUCGGAUUCAUUGGGUACGGUAAAGGGUGCGUAUGGCGGCGCGGUAAGUCGGGAUGUGAAAUCUCGGAGCUUAACUCCGAAACUGCAUUUGAUACUGGCGUGCUUGAGGACUGGAGAGGAGACUGGAAUUCAUGGUGUAGCAGUGAAAUGCGUAGAGAUCAUGAGGAAGACCAGUGGCGAAGGCGGGUCUCUGGACAGUUCCUGACACUGAGGCACGGAAGGCCCAGGGGGAGCAAAACGGG